rnacentral:ncRNA from 1 species
AUUUUAAUAAUAUUAAUAAAAUAUAUUGGUAGUAAUUAAUAUUAAAAAUUUAAGAAAUUAUGAUUUAGUAAUAUUUAUUUAUAUUAUAAACAAAUUUUGUGCCAGCAGUUGCGGUUAGACAAAAUAUAAUUUAAAUUUUAUUAGUGUAUAAUAAAUAAUUUUAAUUAAAAUUAAAUUUUAAAUUAUUAGGUGAAAUUUUAAUUUAAUAAAAAUUUUAUUUUUAAUUAUGAUUUAUAAAAUUUUAUAAAAAACUAGGAUUAGAUACCCUAUUAUUAAAAAUUAAAUUUAUAAUACUAAAAUAGUAGGUAAUUAUUUAUUGAAACUUAAAUAAGUUGGCGGUAUUUUAGUUCAUUUAGAGGAAUCUGUCUAUUAAUUGAUAAUCCACGAAUAAAUUUACUUAAUUAUUAAUUUUGUAUAUCGUUGUUAAAAAAAUAUUUUUUUAUAAAAAUAAUAUUUAAAAAUUUUUAUAAAAAAUUAAUUCAGAUCAAGAUGCAGAUUAUAUUUAAGAAUAUGAUGGAUUACAAUAAUUUAUAAAUUAAAUGAAUAAUAUUUUUUAAGAAAUAUUUGAAGGUGGAUUUAAAUGUAAUUUUUUUUAAUUUAUAAAAAUGAUUAUUAAUUAAAAUAUGUACAUAUUGCCCGUCGCUUUCAUUUAUAAGUUGGAAUAAGUCGUAACAAAGUAGAGGUACUGGAAAGUGUUUCUAGAAAGAC